rnacentral:tRNA from 1 species
CUGCUGAUAGAAGAUGGCGGACUUCCGGAUCUUUACCAAAGCUACGUUGGCAACGCCGUUUUUGUCGAUCGCGUGGUUCCAGUCAAGGACGGCGGGC